rnacentral:rRNA from 1 species
UGGGGAAUCUUCCGCAAUGGACGAAAGUCUGACGGAGCAACGCCGCGUGUAUGAUGAAGGUCUUCGGAUUGUAAAAGUACUGUCAUUGGGGAAGAACGGUUUUCUUGAAAAGAUUGAGAAGACAUGACGGUACCCAAGGAGGAAGCCCCGGCUAACUACGUGCCAGCAGCCGCGGUAAUACGUAGGGGGCAAGCGUUGUCCGGAAUUAUUGGGCGUAAAGGGCGCGUAGGCGGGCCUUUAAGUCCGGUGUGAAAGAUCAGGGCUCAACCCUGAGAGUGCAUCGGAAACUGGAGGCCUUGAGGACAGGAGAGGAAAGUGGAAUUCCACGUGUAGCGGUGAAAUGCGUAGAUAUGUGGAGGAACACCAGUGGCGAAGGCGACUUUCUGGACUGUAACUGACGCUGAGGCGCGAAAGCGUGGGGAGCAAACAGGAUUAGAUACCCUGGUAGUCCACGCCGUAAACGAUGAGUGCUAGGUGUAGAGGGUAUCGACCCCUUCUGUGCCGCAGUUAACACAAUAAGCACUCCCGCCUGGGGAGUACGGCCGCAAGGUUUGAAACUCAAAUG